GACGAACGCUGGCGGCGUGCCUAAUACAUGCAAGUAGAACGCUGAAGAGAGGAGCUUGCUCUUCUUGGAUGAGUUGCGAACGGGUGAGUAACGCGUAGGUAACCUGCCUUGUAGCGGGGGAUAACUAUUGGAAACGAUAGCUAAUACCGCAUAACAAUGGAUGACACAUGUCAUUUAUUUGAAAGGGGCAAUUGCUCCACUACAAGAUGGACCUGCGUUGUAUUAGCUAGUAGGUGAGGUAAUGGCUCACCUAGGCGACGAUACAUAGCCGACCUGAGAGGGUGAUCGGCCACACUGGGACUGAGACACGGCCCAGACUCCUACGGGAGGCAGCAGUAGGGAAUCUUCGGCAAUGGGGGCAACCCUGACCGAGCAACGCCGCGUGAGUGAAGAAGGUUUUCGGAUCGUAAAGCUCUGUUGUAAGUCAAGAACGGGUGUGAGAGUGGAGAGUUCACACUGUGACGGUAGCUUACCAGAAAGGGACGGCUAACUACGUG
rnacentral:rRNA from 1 species